GACAGCAGUCGCCGCGGUAAUACGAAGGGUGCAAGCGUUAAUCGGAAUUACUGGGCGUAAAGCGUGCGUAGGCGGAGAGUUAAGUCUGCUGUGAAAUCCCCGGGCUCAACCUGGGAAUGGCAGUGGAUACUGGCUCGCUAGAGUGUGUCAGAGGAUGGUGGAAUUCCCGGUGUAGCGGUGAAAUGCGUAGAGAUCGGGAGGAACAUCAGUGGCGAAGGCGGCCAUCUGGGACAACACUGACGCUGAGGCACGAAAGCGUGGGGAGCAAGCAGGAUUAGAUACCCGCGUAGUCCCUGUCUCUUAUAC
rnacentral:rRNA from 1 species